rnacentral:rRNA from 1 species
AGUCGGGCGAGGCUUUGCAGAGUAUCGCAAAGUUUAGCGGCAAACGGGUGAGUAACACGUGGGAAACCUUCCUUAGAAUGAGGAACACCCCCGAGAAAUCGGGGUUAAUACCUCAUAAGACCACAGCCUGGCAUCAGGCAGGGGUAAAAGGCGCAAGCCGUUUUAAGAUGGUCCUGCGGGAUAUCAGCUAGUUGGUGGGGUAACGGCCUACCAAGGCUAUGACGUCUAUCCGGCCUGAAAGGGUGAACGGACACACUGGAACUGAGACACGGUCCAGACUCCUACGGGAGGCAGCAGUGGGGAAUUUUGGACAAUGGGGGCAACCCUGAUCCAGCGACGCCGCGUGGAGGACGAAGGCCUUCGGGUUGUAAACUCCUUUUAGUGGGGAAGAAUAAAUUGACGGUACCCACAGAAAAAGCCACGGCUAACUACGUGCCAGCAGCCGCGGUAAUACGUAGGUGGCGAGCGUUACUCGGAAUUACUAGGCGUAAAGCGUAUGUAGGCGGUCGGAUAAGUCUUUUGUGAAAUUUCCUCGCUCAGCGGGGAAAGGGCCAAAGGAUACUGUUCGGCUUGAGUGUGGCAGGGGUAGGCGGAAUUCCUGGUGUAGCGGUGGAAUGCGUAGAUAUCAGGAGGAACACCGAUGGCGAAAGCAGCCUACUGGGCCAAUACUGACGCUGAUGUACGAAAGCUAGGGUAGCAAACAGGAUUAGAUACCCUGGUAGUCCUAGCUGUAAACGAUGUUCACUAGGUGUAGGAGGUAUCGACCCCUUCUGCGCCGACGCUAACGCAUUAAGUGAACCGCCUGGGGAGUACGGCCGCAAGGUUGAAACUCAGAAGGAAUUGACGGAAGG